GAGUUUGAUCCUGGCUCAGGAUGAACGCUGGCGGCGUGCUUAACACAUGCAAGUCGAACGAAGCACUUGAGAUUGAAUCUUCGGAUGAGAACUCUUGUGACUGAGUGGCGGACGGGUGAGUAACGCGUGGGUAACCUACCUCAUACAGGGGGAUAACAGUUGGAAACGACCGCUAAUACCGCAUAACCCGCUAGUAUCGCAUGAUACAGACGGAAAAGAUUUAUCGGUGUGAGAUGGACCCGCGUCUGAUUAGCCAGUUGGCAGGGUAACGGCCUACCAAAGCAACGAUCAGUAGCCGGCCUGAGAGGGUGAACGGCCACAUUGGGACUGAGACACGGCCCAAACUCCUACGGGAGGCAGCAGUGGGGAAUAUUGCACAAUGGGGGAAACCCUGAUGCAGCGACGCCGCGUGAGUGAGGAAGUAUUUCGGUAUGUAAAGCUCUAUCAGCAGGGAAGAAAAUGACGGUACCUGACUAAGAAGCCCC
rnacentral:rRNA from 1 species